rnacentral:rRNA from 1 species
GACGAACGCUGGCGGCGUGCUUAACACAUGCAAGUCGAACGGAAAGGCCCUGCUUUUGUGGGGUGCUCGAGUGGCGAACGGGUGAGUAACACGUGAGUAACCUGCCCUUGACUUUGGGAUAACUUCAGGAAACUGGGGCUAAUACCGGAUAUGAGCUCCUGCUGCAUGGUGGGGGUUGGAAAGUUUCGGCGGUUGGGGCUGGACUCGCGGCUUAUCAGCUUGUUGGUGGGGUAGUGGCUUACCAAGGCUUUGACGGGUAGCCGGCCUGAGAGGGUGACCGGCCACAUGGGGACUGAGAUACGGACCAGACUCCUACGGGAGGCAGCAGUGGGGAAUAUUGCACAAUGGGCGGAAGCCUGAUGCAGCAACGCCGCGUGCGGGAUGACGGCCUUCGGGUUGUAAACCGCUGUCGCCUGUGACGAAGCGUGAGUGACGGUAAUGGGUAAAGAAGCACCGGCUAACUACGUG